rnacentral:rRNA from 1 species
CACGUAGGGUGCGAGCGUUGUCCGGAAUUACUGGGCGUAAAGGGCGCGUAGGCGGCACGGCAAGUCAGGAGUGAAAGGCCUGGGCUCAACCGAGGAACUGCUUUUGAGACUGCCGAGCUAGAGUGCAGAAGGGGCAACUGGAAUUCCCGGUGUAGUGGUGGAAUGCGUAGAUAUCGGGAGGAACACCAGUGGCGAAGGCGGUUGCCUGGGGCUUUGCUGACGCUGAUGCGCGAAAGCGUGGGGAGCGAUCCGG